rfam:Triticum aestivum genome assembly, contig: Triticum_aestivum_CS42_TGACv1_scaffold_502994_6BL
AAAGUACUCCCUCCGUCCCAAAAUUCUUGUCUUUGAUUUGUCUAGAUACAGAUGUAUCAAGUCACAUUUUAGUAUUAGAUACAUCUGUAUCUACACAAAUCUAAGACAAGAAAUUUGGGACAGAGGGAGUGUUGG